AAGUCGUAACAAGGUUUCCGUAGGUGAACCUGCGGAAGGAUCAUUAUUGAGUAGUUUGUUUUGAAGACACCCAUGGGGUUUGCAGCUGGCAAGGGUGUCGAUCCCCCUGCACGUGCUCGCCUUUGUUGUUCUCAAUCCACUUCUUUGCCCCUUUUUUCAACUCCUUGUGCACUUUUGAGGGGGGGUUUGCGGGAAAAUGGCCUCGAAGAGGUGCUUGACCUGCGUGCCCUUCCACAAUAACACCACACCAUUUAAGAAUCUGUGCAUAUCAAUGAAAAAUACAACUUUCAACAACGGAUCUCUUGGCUCUC
rnacentral:misc_RNA from 1 species